rnacentral:rRNA from 1 species
UACAGAGGUCUCAAGCGUUGUUCGGAUUCAUUGGGCGUAAAGGGUGCGUAGGCGGCAGUGCAAGUCAGGUGUGAAAUCCCGGGGCUCAACCCCGGAACUGCACUUGAUACUGCUCUGCUAGAGUACUGGAGAGGAGACUGGAAUUUACGGUGUAGCAGUGAAAUGCGUAGAUAUCGUAAGGAAGACCAGUGGCGAAGGCGAGUCUCUGGACAAUUGCUGACGCUCAGGCACGAAAGCGUGGGGAGCAAAAGGG